rnacentral:lncRNA from 10 species
CUUUUUUCUUCGCCUUUUUAAACUCGUUUAUUAUAAAAACAAUGUUACCAUAUGCAAAACUAGAAGAGUGUAAUGAAUUCCCGUGUGUCCAUCAUCUAUCUUUAACAGAAGUACAGUCUAUAUAAAGACUGUCCAGGACAAAAACUGGCCACUCCAUUCAGCAUUGACAGCAGUAUUUAAAGCUGGUGCAUGGUGAGGUGAAGUUUCUCAAGGGCAAAGACAAUGCCUUCAUGCAUGUUCAGUGUCUGCCCCCGUGGGCUUUGAAAUGAUCGCUGACAAUGGGGGAUCUGCAGUGACUUCUCUGCCUCUGCCAAAGCCCAGGGGUGCUGCUCCCUAAUUCUAAGGAUUCUAAUGAGACUCAGAGCAGGUGUAACACAGGGCAUGGAGCUUCCUGAGCAAGAGGCUGGCUAACAAACUGUGGACGUGGUACUUAGACACAUUAAGAGACAUUACAGGGACACCUGCAAGUAUGUCUCCCUGGGGAGAAGCCAAGUGCAGAUGCUAUGGCCACAGAUGAUAUGGUUUGGCUCUGUGUCCCCACUCAAAUCUCAUCUCAAGUUGUAAUCCCUGGAUGUCGAGGGAGGGACCUGGUGGGAGGUGAUUGGAUUGGUUCGCAUGAUAGUGAGGGAGUUCUCACGAGAUCUGGUUGUUUGAUAAGUGUCUGGCAUUUCUCCUGUGCUGUCUCUCCUGCCACCUUGUGAAGAAGGUGCCUGCUUCUCCUUCGCCUUCCGCCAUGAUUGUAAGUUUCCUGAGGCCUCCCUAGCAAUGCAGAACUGUG